rnacentral:rRNA from 1 species
AAAGCUCAAAUUUAAAAUCUGGCAGUUCCACUGUCCGAGUUGUAGUCUGGAGAAGUGUUUUCCGCGUUGGACCGUGUACAAGUCUCUUGGAAUAGAGCGUCAUAGAGGGUGAGAAUCCCGUCUCUGACACGGACUACCAGUGCUUUUGUGAUACACACUCAAAGAGUCGAGUUGUUUGGGAAUGCAGCUCAAAAUGGGUGGUAAAUUCCAUCUAAAGCUAAAUAUUGGCGAGAGACCGAUAGCGAA